UACGUAGGUGGCGAGCGUUGUCCGGAUUUACUGGGCGUAAAGGGAGCGUAGGCGGACUUUUAAGUGAGAUGUGAAAUACCCAGGCUUAACUUGGGUGCUGCAUUUCAAACUGGAAGUCUAGAGUGCAGGAGAGGAGAAUGGAAUUCCUAGUGUAGCGGUGAAAUGCGUAGAGAUUAGGAAGAACACCAGUGGCGAAGGCGAUUCUCUGGACUGUAACUGACGCUGAGGCUCGAAAGCGUGGGGAGCAAACAGGAUUAGAUACCCCCGUAGU
rnacentral:rRNA from 1 species